CCUGUCCCUAGAGGCAUUGGAGGCAUGGCUGCUUUGCCACAUGUAGAUCAGAGGUAACAGAGAGGAGAGAGGCUAAUGCUCAGCGUUCUUACCCAUGAAUGUCUAAAUGAUUACCAGAGCCUAACAUU
ensembl:snoRNA Gm25346 small nucleolar RNA SNORA17